CCUACGGGGGGCAGCAGUGAGGAAUAUUGGUCAAUGGGAGAGAUCCUGAACCAGCCAAGCCGCGUGAGGGAAGACGGCCCUAUGGGUUGUAAACCUCUUUUGUCGGAGAACAAAACCCGGGACGUGUCCCGGACUGCGUGUAUCCGAAGAAAAAGCAUCGGCUAACUCCGUGCCAGCAGCCGCGGUAAUACGGAGGAUGCGAGCGUUAUCCGGAUUUAUUGGGUUUAAAGGGUGCGUAGGCGGUCCGUUAAGUCAGCGGGAAAAUUGCGGGGCUCAACCCCGUCGAGCCGUUGAAACUGGCAGACUUGAGUGGGCGAGAAGUACGCGGAAUGCGCGGUGUAGCGGUGAAAUGCAUAGAUAUCGCGCAGAACGCCGAUUGCGAAGGCAGCGUACCGGCGCCAGACUGACGCUGAGGCACGAAAGCGUGGGGAUCGAACAGGAUUAGAUACCCGAGUAGUC
rnacentral:rRNA from 1 species